CAUUCUUCUGCCUCAGCCUCCCGAGUAGCUGGGACUACAGAGAACAAUGGGAGUUGUGAUCUGUACCUCUGUGUGCAUAAUGGUUGUACCUGGGUCUCUCCCUGUCCCUGCUCCAGGAAGGUGCUGGAUCCUCCCAAGUCCAUGGGAAGAGAUUAGGACACAAACAACAGACAGAAGUUGACCACAGCAGGACACAGUGAGAAGCUGGCCACCUGCAAGCCAAGGAAAGAGGCCUCAGGAGAAACCAAACCUGC